GAGGGAUUUUUUUGAAAUCAAUAAGGAUAUUAUGGUUAUUAUGGGUUAAAUGUCACGCCCCGGGGUCCCUUUCGGUUUAAGAGAUAGCGGAAAAGCGUCUGAAAUUUUUUUUUGAAAAUCUGACCCCAGAGUAUGUCAGAUCCGCCACAAAUAUAGGAGAUCCACUAUACACACGGACAGAGUCUCCCCUGUAUUUGCACGGCGUCGCACAAGUAUAAGAAUACAACCAGGAUACAACCAUAACUAGAUGAAUAUAAAGAUCACUAUACAUUCAUACAUUCACCAUUCACAUCACAGUUUUACAUUCAAUGUUUAAACAGAAAUCCAUAAAAAUUUUUUUUUGAAAACUGUUUCCUACACGGAAACCUUUAUUCUUUAAAAACGCUACCACGAGGGGUAGAAAACCUUUUAUUACAUUCAUGAAAAUCCACAUAUUCAAAUGUAAUAAAAAUACUGAACCAUAUAAACUAUCUAAGCUAUAUAUCAACAGAAAUAAAAAGGGUAAGAGCUAAACUGAACGACCUGCGUCGGAAGAUCUAUCGACCGCUACGUACGUGUCUCACGUCUCGUCUAAACCUCACCACCUGCAAUACCUGAAAAAUGGUGGGGGAGGUGAGAACAUGUAAACAUGUCUCCCCUCCCAGUGGGUACCGCAAGCCGAUGAAGGCGGGGAGUACUCACCGGAUCAGGAAGAGAUAAACAACAAUAUGGGUAAGUGGAAAUAUAGCAGCAACAACAAUAAACGAAAGAGAUAUGUAAGGUAAUGAGCAGAUAAAUCGAAUACAGUAGCAAUAAACUGAAAGAAAGUAAGAACUAGACUGAAUAACGGCUACCGCUACUGUAACUGAAAUCGAAAGCAUACAUGAAUAUCUCCUAUAGUAGCGAGACAACUAUAAAGUAAGAACUGUAAAUAUGCAUGCAACGACUGCUACUAUAGACAUAUGCGUCAACUUACGAUAACCUCAAAAGUACCAAAUCUCGCUGCCCUAUUGGUCCGAAGACCUCAG
rnacentral:lncRNA from 1 species